rnacentral:rRNA from 1 species
GCUAAUACCGCAUAAGCGCACAGCUUCGCAUGAAGCAGUGUGAAAAACUCUGGUGGUAUACGAUGGAUCCGCGUCUGAUUAGCUAGUUGGCGGGGUAAAGGCCCACCAAGGCGACGAUCAGUAGCCGGCCUGAGAGGGUGAACGGCCACAUUGGGACUGAGACACGGCCCAAACUCCUACGGGAGGCAGCAGUGGGGAAUAUUGCACAAUGGGGGAAACCCUGAUGCAGCGACGCCGCGUGAGUGAAGAAGUAUUUCGGUACGUAAAGCUCUAUCAGCAGGGAAGAAAAUGACGGUACCUGACUAAGAAGCCCCGGCUAACUACGUGCCAGCAGCCGCGGUAAUACGUAGGGGGCAAGCGUUAUCCGGAUUUACUGGGUGUAAAGGGAGCGUAGACGGCAGCGCAAGUCUGGAGUGAAAUCCCAUGGCUUAACCAUGGAACUGCUUUGGAAACUGUGCAGCUAGAGUGCAGGAGAGGUAAGCGGAAUUCCUAGUGUAGCGGUGAAAUGCGUAGAUAUUAGGAGGAACACCAGUGGCGAAGGCGGCUUACUGGACUGUAACUGACGUUGAGGCUCGAAAGCGUGGGGAGCAAACGGGAUUAGAUACCCUGGUAGUCCACGCCGUAAACGAUGACUACUAGGUGU